rnacentral:rRNA from 1 species
AGUCACUGACAUUAGAUACCCCCGUAGUCCAGGGUGUAAACGCUGCAGACUUGGUGUUGGAAGUCCUUUGGGGGCAUUCAGUGCCGGAGAGAAGUUGUUAAGUCUGCUACUUGGGGAGUACGUCCGCAAGGAUGAAACUUAAAGGAAUUGGCGGGGAGCACCACAACGGGUGGAGCCUGCGGUUUAAUUGGACUCAACGCCGGAAAUCUCACCGGAUAGGACAGACAUAUGAUAGUCGGGCUGAAGACUCUACUUGAUGAUCUG